AAUUGCCACUAAUACCAUUUUACUAAUACCACUUUUCAACUUUACACUUUUCAAUUUUACCAUUAAAAUUUUAAUAGACAAAGUACCAUUAUACCCUUGAAUAAAUAAACCUAAAUCUCUCUUUCUCCCCUAAUUCCAAAUCUGAGAGUUCCUAAAUUGAUUUCGAAUUCGACGGUGAUCAAAUCCGACGACACUAACGAGUUCUCCGGACGGCGCUGGCGAGUUCUCCGGCGGAUUUGACGGCGCUGACGAAUUCUCCGACGAAGCUGAGACGAUCUCUUACUUGAGAAAUAAGGACGGUGGCGUCGAGCGUUGAUUCGCUUCUGGAGAAGCUCAAACAGGAGGAGCUUUACCUUCCACCAACUCGUGCUUCUCCUCUAUCUUCUUCCUUUGUCUCUGAAUAAAGCUUGGUUAGGUUGGCGUUGAAUGUUCUGCAAGGUGUUGAGUCUUCUCUUAUUAGCAUACAUAAGCUCUCUUAUGUAUUAUGCUCUGAGCCAGCCGAUAGGACAACCCACCAAAGUCUGAGCUUGUGGCAUCAGUUAUCAAGCACUGACGCCUUGGGACAGAUUCUUUGAAACAUAUGAUGCUUUGGUUCUUUGGUUUUUCUUCUCCAUAACUUUGUAGACCCAUUUCAUGAACUUCAAGUUGGAAGUUGAGGGACAGGGGAGAGCUGUAAAGUAGGUGAAAAUGAAGAAGCCAAUAACAAGAGCUGCUAUACUCUUGUUAAUCAGGCUUUUGCUAUUGCUGUGAGAAAAGUCCUAGAAGGCUAUAUAUCUGGUCUGGAUACAUUAUGUGCAUCUGCAGAACUGAGGCGUUCAUCUAACAUUGUGGUUUUGUAAACCCUUUAUAAAUUUUUAUAAACUAUUAUAAAUUCAGAAACCCCAAGUAUCUCUCAA